UACGUAGGGACCAAGCGUUGUUCGGAUUUACUGGGCGUAAAGGGCGCGUAGGCGGCAAUUCAAGUCAUCUGUGAAAUCUCCGGGCUUAACCCGGAACGGUCAGAUGAUACUGCUUUGCUAGAGUGCGGAAGGGGCAAUCGGAAUUCUUGGUGUAGCGGUGAAAUGCGUAGAUAUCGAGAGGAACACCUGCGGCGAAGGCGGGUUGCUGGGCUGACACUGACGCUGAUGCGCGAAAGCUAGGGGAGCGAACGGG
rnacentral:rRNA from 1 species